CAGGUGAGUUUUGGGGUCCCCCAGGUGAGUUUGGGAUUUCCCAGGUGCCCCCUCAGGUGAGUUUGGGACCUCUCAGGUGAAUUUUGGGGCCCCCCUAAACCCCCAAACCCCAAAACCACUCCCGGGGUCUCUCAGGGAUGAGUUUAAUGCAGCAGCAGCAGCGGCAGCGGCAGCCAGGUGAGUUCAGGUGUGCCAGGGGUGCCCAGGUGUGCCAGGGGUGCCCAGGUGAGUCAGUGCAGCAGUUCCAGGCAGUGACAGACCCCAAAGAAUCCCCAAAAGUUCUUCAGAGACCCCAAAAAAACCCCAAAAAAACCCCAAAAAUCCACCCCAGAGCAAAGCAGCAGCUGCCAGGUGUGCCCAGGUGAGUCCAGCAAUGCCCAGGUGUGCCCAGGUGAGUUCAGCAGUGCCCAGCUGUGCCCAGGUGUGCCCAGGUGUGCCCAGGUGUGCCCAGGUGAGUUCAGCAGUGCCCAGCUGUGCCCAGGUGAGUCAGUGCAGCAGCUCCAGGCAGCGACAGACCCCAAAGAACCCCAAAAGCUGCCCCAGAAAUCCCAAAAAAGACCCCAAGAAUCAACCCCAGAGCCAAGCAGCAGCUCCCAGGUGUGCCCAGGUGAGUUCAGCAGUGCCCAGGUGUGCCCAGUGGUGCCCAGGUGAGUCAGUGCAGCAGCGACAGCCCCAAAAGAUGCCCAAGGAACCCCCAAAAAAUCCCCCAAAAAAACCCGAAAAUGUUCCCCCAAGCCAAGCAGCAGUGCCCAGGUGUGCCCAGGUGAGUUCAGCAGUGCCCAGGUGUGCCCAGGUGUGCCCAGCUGUGCCCAGGUGACCCCAAAUUGG
rnacentral:lncRNA from 1 species